ACGAACGCUGGCGGCAGGCCUAACACAUGCAAGUCGAGCGCGCCCUUCGGGGUGAGCGGCGGACGGGUGAGUAACGCGUGGGAACGUGCCCUUUUCUACGGAAUAGCCUCGGGAAACUGAGAGUAAUACCGUAUACGCCCUUUGGGGGAAAGAUUUAUCGGAAAAGGAUCGGCCCGCGUUGGAUUAGGUAGUUGGUGGGGUAAUGGCCUACCAAGCCGACGAUCCAUAGCUGGUUUGAGAGGAUGAUCAGCCACACUGGGACUGAGACACGGCCCAGACUCCUACGGGAGGCAGCAGUGGGGAAUCUUAGACAAUGGGGGCAACCCUGAUCUAGCCAUGCCGCGUGAGUGAUGAAGGCCUUAGGGCUGUAAAGCUCUUUCAGCUGGGAAGAUAAUGACGGUACCAGCAGAAGAAGCCCCGGCUAACUCCGUG
rnacentral:rRNA from 1 species